rnacentral:rRNA from 1 species
UACGGGGGGGGGCAAGCGUUGUUCGGAUUUACUGGGCGUAAAGGGCGCGUAGGCGGUCGUGACAAGUCACUUGUGAAAUCUCCGGGCUUAACUCGGAACGGUCAAGUGAUACUGUCGGACUAGAGUACAGAAGGGGCAACUGGAAUUCUCGGUGUAGCGGUGAAAUGCGUAGAUAUCGAGAGGGAACACCUGCGGCGAAGGCGGGUUGCUGGGCUGAUACUGACGCUGAGGCGCGAAGGCCCAGGGGGAGCAAACGGGG